rnacentral:rRNA from 1 species
GAUGAACGCUGGCGGCGUGCCUAAUACAUGCAAGUCGAGCGAACAGACGAGGAGCUUGCUCCUCUGACGUUAGCGGCGGACGGGUGAGUAACACGUGGAUAACCUACCUAUAAGACUGGGAUAACUUCGGGAAACCGGAGCUAAUACCGGAUAAUAUAUUGAACCGCAUGGUUCAAUAGUGAAAGACGGUUUUGCUGUCACUUAUAGAUGGAUCCGCGCCGCAUUAGCUAGUUGGUAAGGUAACGGCUUACCAAGGCGACGAUGCGUAGCCGACCUGAGAGGGUGAUCGGCCACACUGGAACUGAGACACGGUCCAGACUCCGACGGGAGGCAGCAGUAGGGAAUCUUCCGCAAUGGGCGAAAGCCUGACGGAGCAACGCCGCGGGAGUGAUGAAGGUCUUCGGAUCGGAGAACUCUGUUAUUAGGAAAGAACAAAUGUGUAAGUAACUAUGCACGUCUUGACGGUACCUAAACAGAAAGCCACGGCUAACUACGUG